CAUAGAUUAAAUAUUUGCAAGGUCUAUUCAUAAUGAUUUCGAACUGCAUCCCAUUUCGCACAGACCCCACAUAAGUACUUAUCAGAUCAUGGAAUCCAUCGUCUUGAAGAACUUCCAGUUAAUAAUGAGUUAAACGCGAUAUUUGCAUACAAAUUGGUGUAUGCAGUUACAACAUCUUCGUUGCUAACAACCUUCUUCAAUGGCAAGGAUAUUUGCUUUAACAAGUUGAAUAAGAAGUAAGACAGCAAAAAUCUGAACCGCACUUGAAGACAAAACGCGAAAGACUAUUCAUGGACCGACACAUUAGUGUACAUUCGAUAUUUACGGAUAUACUAUUGUAUGUGUGAGAAUGUAAAUGAUUUUUAUUGCAAUUUGAGACAAUUAUUUCGAAAUAUGAAGUGUUUUAAAAGCGGUUGUGUUUAUUUCAAGUUUAAAUUUAUAGAAAACUUAAAAACGAUUGUACCGGAUUUCGGAAGGAACAUAUAAGAUAUAUAUAACUUAUGAAGAAUUAGAAAGUGUUUAACACUCUUAUCUUGAAAAGCCUGGAAAGUAUUGACCUUAAUUUACUUGUGAUGAAUUAUCUUUUAUAUAAAAGAAUAAAAAAAAGUGUAAUAAAAGUUAAAUUUUAUUACAAUA